GCGGAAAAGCGUCUGAAAUUUUUUUUUUUUGAAAACCUGACCCCAGGGUAUGCCAGAUCCGCCACAAAUACAGGAGAUCCACUGUUCACACGGACAGAGUCUCCCCUGUAUUUGCACGGCGUCGCACAAGUACAAGAGUUCAAACAUGAUACAACCACAAUCAGAUGAACAUACAAAUAAUCACAGUUAUAUAUUCAUACACCAUUCACCAUAGAUUCACAUUUUACCAUUCAAUAUUUAAACAUAAAUUCACAUCUAUCAGUUAAAAUGUUUCCAACCACAGAAACAGGUUUUGAAAUACUAAGAUACAAAAUCACCGAAAACCCCUUUGAAAACUGUUCCCUACACGGGAACUUUUAUCUUUUAAAACGCUACCACGAGGGGUAGAAAAUCAUUUUUAUUUUACAAAAUCCAGAAAUCCACAUUUUCAAAUGUAAAUAAACACUGAACCACAUAAACCCACUAAACUAUUCAUCAAUCAAACUAAGAAGGGUAAGAAAGUAAACCGAAUU
rnacentral:lncRNA from 1 species